rnacentral:rRNA from 1 species
GCAUAUCAAUAAGCGGAGGAAAAGAAACCAACAGGGAUUGCCCUAGUAACGGCGAGUGAAGCGGCAACAGCUCAAAUUUGAAAUCUGGCUCUCGGGCCCGAGUUGUAAUUUGUAGAGGAUACUUUUGAUGCGGUGCCUUCCGAGUUCCCUGGAACGGGACGCCAUAGAGGGUGAGAGCCCCGUCUGGUUGGAUGCCAAAUCUCUGUAAAGUUCCUUCAACGAGUCGAGUAGUUUGGGAAUGCUGCUCUAAAUGGGAGGUAUAUGUCUUCUAAAGCUAAAUACCGGCCAGAGACCGAUAGCGCACAAGUAGAGUGAUCGAAAGAUGAAAAGCACUUUGAAAAGAGAGUUAAAAAGUACGUGAAAUUGUUGAAAGGGAAGCGUUUAUGACCAGACUUGGGCUUGGUUAAUCAUCUGGGGUUCUCCCCAGUGCACUUUUCCAGUCCAGGCCAGCAUCAGUUUUCCCCGGGGGAUAAAGGCGGCGGGAAUGUGGCUCUCUUCGGGGAGUGUUAUAGCCCACCGUGUAAUACCCUGGGGGGGACUGAGGUUCGCGCAUCUGCAAGGAUGCUGGCGUAAUGGUCAUCAACGACCCGUCUUGAAACACGGACCAAGGAGUCGUCUUCGUAUGCGAGUGUUCGGGUGUCAAACCCCUACGCGUAAUGAAAGUGAACGCAGGUGAGAGCUUCGGCGCAUCAUCGACCGAUCCUGAUGUUCUCGGAUGGAUUUGAGUAAGAGCAUACGGGGCCGGACCCGAAAGAAGGUGAACUAUGCCUGUAUAGGGUGAAGCCAGAGGAAACUCUGGUGGAGGCUCGCAGCGGUUCUGACGUGCAAAUCGAUCGUCAAAUAUGGGCAUGGGGGCGAAAGACUAAUCGAACCUUCUAGUAGCUGGUUUCCGCCGAA